GGAGUUAGCCGGUGCUUCUUCUGUGAGUGAUGUCCUUCCUGCCGGCUAUUAACCCGCAGGCCUUCUUCCUCACUGAAAGUGCUUUACAACCCGAAGGCCUUCUUCACACACGCGGCAUGGCUGGAUCAGGGUUGCCCCCAUUGUCCAAUAUUCCCCACUGCUGCCUCCCGUAGGAGUCUGGGCCGUGUCUCAGUCCCAGUGUGGCUGAUCAUCCUCUCAGACCAGCUACGGAUCGUCGCCUUGGUGAGCCGUUACCUCACCAACCAGCUAAUCCGACAUAGGCUCAUCCGAUAGCGCGAGGCCCGAAGGUCCCCCGCUUUCCCCCGUAGGGCGUAUGCGGUAUUAGCCUGGGUUUCCCCAGGUUAUCCCCCACUACCGGGCAGAUUCCUAUGCAUUACUCACCCGUCCGCCGCUCGCCACCAGGGAGCAAGCUCCCCGUGCUGCCGCUCGACUUGCAUGUGUUAGGCCUGCCGCCAGCGUUCAAUCUGAGCCAGGAAUCGAAACCCUCGACGUACGUAGACGGGCGGGUCGUCGGACGGAACGGCCGACAAGU
rnacentral:rRNA from 1 species